ACAAUGCAAGUCGAACGAGGUCCAUCUUGUAGCAAUACAAGUGAAGACCUAGUGGCGAACGGGUGAGGAACACGUGAGAAAUUUGCCCCGAACUUUGGGAUAACAGUUGGAAACGACUGCUAAUACCGAAUGCCGUUACGAAGUGGCAUCACUAUGUAACGAAAGAAUUUCGGUUCGGGAGAAUCUCGCGGCCUAUCAGCUUGUUGGUGAGGUAACGGCUCACCAAGGCUACGACGGGUAGCUGGUCUGAGAGGAUGAUCAGCCACACUGGGACUGAGACACGGCCCAGUCUCCUACGGGAGGCAGCAGAGGGGAAUCUUGUGCAAUGGACGAAAGUCUGACACAGCCACGCCGCGUGCGGGAAGAAGGCCUUCGGGUUGUAAACCGCUUUCAGCAGGAACGAAAUGACGGUACCUGCAGAAGAAGGAGCGGCCAACUACGUGCCAGCAGCCGCGGUGACACGUAGGCUCCAAGCGUUGUCCGGAUUUAUUGGGCGUAAAGAGCUCGUAGGCGGUUCAGCAAGUCGGGUGUGAAAACUCUGGGCUCAACCCAGAGCCUGCACCCGAAACUUGCUGUGACUAGAGUUCGGUAGGGGAGUGGGGAAUUCCUAGUGUAGCGGUGAAAUGCGCAGAUAUUAGGAGGAACACCGAUGGCGAAGGCACCACUCUGGGCCGAAACUGACGCUGAGGAGCGA
rnacentral:rRNA from 1 species